GUGGGGAAUAUUGCACAAUGGGGGAAACCCUGAUGCAGCAACGCCGCGUGAGUGAUGAAGGUCUUCGGAUUGUAAAACUCUGUCUUUGGGGACGAUAAUGACGGUACCCAAGGAGGAAGCCACGGCUAACUACGUGCCAGCAGCCGCGGUAAUACGUAGGUGGCAAGCGUUGUCCGGAUUUACUGGGCGUAAAGGGAGCGUAGGUGGAUAUUUAAGUGGGAUGUGAAAUACUCGGGCUUAACCUGAGUGCUGCAUUCCAAACUGGAUAUCUAGAGUGCAGGAGAGGAAAGUGGAAUUCCUAGUGUAGCGGUGAAAUGCGUAGAUAUUAGGAAGAACACCAGUGGCGAAGGCGACUUUCUGGACUGUAACUGACACUGAGGCUCGAAAGCGUGGGGAGCGAACAGGAUUAGAUACCCGAGUAGUCC
rnacentral:rRNA from 1 species